rnacentral:rRNA from 1 species
UUGAGAUUUGAAAGGCCGCGGUAUUAUGACCGUGCUAAGGUAGCAUAAUCAUUAGUCUUUUAAUUGGAGGCUGGAAUGAAUGGUCGGACAAGAGAUAAGCUGUCUUAAGUAAAAAUAUUGAAUUUAACUUUUAAGUGAAAAGGNCUUAAAUCUUCUAGGGGGACGAUAAGACCCUAUAAAACUUUAUAUUUUGAAAUAAUAAUUAAUUUUGUGUGGGAGGUUUAUUUUUAAGUAUUUUAUUGGGGUGAUAAGGAUAAAAUAAUAAGUAACUGUCUUUUUUUAUUACAAUAAUAUUUGAGCAAAUGAACCUGGUAAGGGAAAGAAGAUUAAGUUACUUUAGGGAUAACAGCGUAAUUUUUUUUAAGAGUUCUUAUCGACAAGAAAGUUUGCGACCUCGAUGUUGAAUUAAAAAUUCUUUAUAGAGCAGAAACUAUAAAAGAAGGUCUGUUCGACCUUUAAAAUUUUAC